UUUUAACGGAGAGUUUGAUUCUGGCUCAGAACGAACGCUGGCGGCGUGGAUAAGACAUGCAAGUCGAGCGAGAUUUUUUCCUGUAGCAAUACAGGGAAAAGUCUAGCGGCGAACGGGUGCUUAACACGUGGGCAAUCUGCCGAGAAGUGGGGG
rnacentral:rRNA from 1 species